GAGAUACAAAAUAUAUGGAGAUGUUAUAAAAGUAGAUUAUUAUAAAAAACAAAGGAGGGAUUCAAAGUGCUAUAGGAAAACUUUGAGGAGGGAAAAAAACAAGAAGAGAGAAUACCUUAAACUGGAUACAGGGAUGGGAGAAGGAAAUCAUGGGAGACUUCUUAGAGGAGAUGGAAUCCCUACCUUGAAGGAAAAGAAUUCUGAAAAGUAGAGAUGAGAGGGUCUCAUUCAGGGAGACGGCCUGUGAGAUUCACUGCUUAAAAGCAAAAUGAGAUUUGGCAACAGGUAAUAUAGUCCAAUUUGGCUUGACAUUGUGAAGUAGAGUAAUAUAAAAUCAAUCUAUAAAAGGAUGAAAAAGGUCUUUGAGCCUCAGUUUCCUCAUUUGUAAAAUGAAAGUGUUAGAGUAGAUAAUCUCCAAGCCCUCUUCAAUUCAGGUUCGCCUGUAGUGAAAUUUUUUAGAGUCCUAUUGCUUAAGACUUGUCUUACUUUUCUUUUGCCUCUUCUUCUGGCCUGACUUAAGCAUUCCUCCCUGCAUUUUUAGUAGCUCAGGGAAUUGUCUGGAAUCUUUGGAGAGGGUAAACACAUUUCUUGCUUGGCCUUUGUUAUCAGACAGCAUUCAGGGCAAAGAAAAGGCCAGAAUUCACUGUUAAUUUAUGUAAACUGCAUUCUUAAUUCAGUUGUUCUGGGAUGCCUUCUGGUGUGAUGUACAUGCCAACUGUACCCAUUCAUUGCAGAUGGAAGAGAUCAUUGGCUUAUCCAGCCAGAAGGACUCUGUGCCAAGAUAUAAUUGUCCUGGUUUAAGGAUAGCAUUCCAAACCCAUAUUUGAUGUACAGCCUGUAUCUUUUUGGGAGGGGUCAUAGUUUUGAUUCUAUCAGUGAUUAUAAGAUUAUCAGGCUAUAAUACAUAGAAUUAUCAGAAUAAUCAGUGUUAGGACAGAUAACUGUUUAAGCUUGAGUAUAGCUAGGACUUGAAGACAGUGUCUGUCUCUCUGUAUUUGAACUCAACUGGUUUUUGUGGUUUUAUUUCCUUGUGAUCAUCUUUGACAUUAGUGGUAGAAAUUCUGCACAUUAGUUCCACCAUUGUGAAUUGAUAGCUUUUCUUUUUGUGUGUAAGAAGAAAACAAAAGAGAAAUGGUCUUUUUUUUUUUUUAAGACAAGCAUCUCUGAUUUGUGCUCUGAUUUCCCCCUUAGUUUUAGGACCUCUAGUUAAAUGAUCUUUAAUGACCCAUCAUCCUUUACUGACUCAUAAACUCUAAUUUUGGACUUGAAUGGGUUCAAAUUCCACAGUUGGGACAUGGCUAUUUGAUUUCUCCUAUUUGCUAUUUCUGCUCCUUAGUUCUAAAGAAUAUAUUAAUUAAAGGCUUAAAUGAUAAAUGUACUAACCAGUUUAAGAAGUUCAAAUGUAGUUGAUUGUAGAAUGUAAUCCCCUUGAGGACAGGCACUGUUUUCAUUUUUGUCCUUUUAUGCCUGGAAAUUGCUUGUUGAUUGAUUUUGCUUAUCAAUGUCACCAACUAAAUGAUUUCUGUAAAGAAUUGCCAUUUUUGACUAUUAGAUAAUUUAAAAAAUACGACAAUAGAGUGUAAACUAAAUUCUGGAAGAGGGACUUCCUCUCUAUCUCUUGUAUCUUCUGUAGUAAUUAGGACAGUGCUAGAAAUGUCCAUUGAAUGAUUUAAUAGCACAUUAACUUUUUUUGCCAGAUUACAUGCCUAUCAAUUAAAUUACAAAUUUUAAUAUUCAUUUUCUGACAAUUUUCAAUCCAUGUUAUCUCUCUUCCUCCUCCUCCUCCCUAGGAAGGCAAUAUGGUAUAGGUUGAACAUAUAUUAUCCAUACAUAUAUUAUCCAUAUACAUAUCUCCUUGUUCAAGAUAUAUAUUGCUUACACUAGAGAAAAAUUCAUGAAGAAAAUCAGGUUAAUAAUGGUAUGUUUCAAUCUGAGCACAUUUCUUAAGAGUUUCACUUCCCUCAAGGUCUUCUAUUUUUUCCUUCAUGCUAAGUAAUGCCUAGACUAAAGUUAUCCACCUUCACAAAAAGAUGACUUCCACUGAAAAAUCUUUGUUCUCUCAGAACAUACUGGGAACAAGGGUUAUAGGCAUAGCUUACAUUAACAUAGUGCUAUAAGAUUGUACAACAGGAAUUCUUAAUCUGUUUUGAGUCAUGAACCUCUUUAGCAGUCAAUGGAUUUUAUGGACCUCUUAGAAUAAUUUUUGAAUGCGUAAAAUAAAAAGUGUUACAAAGGAAGCCAUUUGCAUUGGAAUACAAUUAUCAAAAUGUUAAAAAAAAGUUCUUGGAUUCUAGGUUAAGAAUUUUUUACUUUGAAGGAAGUCUAAUGAUAUUCUACAAAUCAUUCAACUACACAAAUAUCAUUGCCAUUUUUAGAGGAGGAAACUAAAGUUUAGAGAAGUGAGAUGUCUAAGCUGCAGAAAUGUAGUUAGUUAGGAAGUUCCAAAGUUGAGAUUGGAAUCUAGGUCUCUUGACUUUUUGUCUAGAACUUUUUCAGUGAUGGCAAACCUUUUAGAGACUAUGUGCUAUGCUUCACCCCCCACUGCAUGCUGUGUCCUGCCCUGCCCCCACCCCGGCUUGCCACCUUACUGCAGAAGGGGAGGGAGAAAAGAAGGGGAGUGAUACGGGUGCUCUGCCCAGGGGAAAGGAGUAAGCACUUAGACUGUGUUGCUGGGCAGAGGGACUAGGAGGUGUGGUGGAGAGGGGAAAUAGAGCAGUUCCACUGAAUCCCUCUGCCUUUCUAGGAAUUAACUCUGUUGGGUGAUGCGUGCCCACAGAGAGGACUCUGCAUGCCAUCUUUGUCACAUGUGCCAUAGGGUCACCAUCAUGGCCCUAGAUCAUGCUGCCUUUUAAAGUCUUAGUUCUUGAUUCAGUUGGAUUAGGCAGUGUGAGAGAUGAUGGAAGGCUAAAGGAAGAGAGAUGACACAUUUAAUGUUAAACCAAGGAAAUUCACUAUUAGCAAGGCUAUAAGCAUUGACCUUAUUUAAGGAGGAUUUUAAAAAAUUAUCCUGUCUAAUAGAUAUUUGAAAGAAGAACAUAAAGGAAAUAAAGUAUGCAUAGUACCUAUGCUGGCACUUUUGGCUUAUGUCAUCCAUAAAUGUUUCUUUCAGGUUGAAAGUAGGGAAGGUAUUGAAAAGGGCUUUUUUGUAUAUUAAGGAACAUGAAUUGUAAAGCAUUUUUCUCAAGUCUUACCACUGCUUAAAGAAAUGUCAAAAAAAAAACACAACAACUUGACAUAUUGCUUGAAUAUAUUUGGGGACAAUAAAGGAUAUGAAGCAGUAUUAUCUUUGCAGUCAGUAAUAACCUGAGUUCAAAUUCCACUUCCGCCAUUGAUUAAGUUUGACCUUUGGCACAUCAUUUAAUGUUUCUGAACCUGUUUGCUCCUUUAUAAAAUGAGGAAUGUGGAUGAGGUGACUUAUACAAUCAAUUAGCAAACAUUGAUGAGACCCUUGGAUAGUUCCAGGCACUAUCCAAAGUGCUAAGGAUAUAAAGUCUUUAUGUUCAAGGAUUUCACAUUCUAAUGUUGAAAAAAUGUGUGUGAUUAGGCACAUGCAAAACCUACAGAAUUCACAGAAGGAACUAUAAGAGGAGACAGCUCUAAGAAUUGGAAUUGAAAAAGGUCUCCUGCAGGAAGUGGGAAAGGAGUGGAGGUGAGGAGAAUGGUGAGCAUUUUAGAUAGCUAGUGAAAAGGCAUGGAAUUAGGAUAUGGAAUAUUCAUGUGUGAGGAAUAGCAGAAUAAGUAGAAUAGCAAUAGGGAUAGGGGAUUAAACAGUAUAGGAAACCUAGAAAGUAGGACAGGACUGGGGUUAGUUAAGAAACACAGUAAAUAGAGUUUUGGACUUGGCGUCAAGAAGUCCUGAGUUCAAAUUCAGCCUCAGACACUUACUGGUUAUGUGACCCUGGGCAAGUCACUUAACCUCUAUUUACCUCAGUUUCCUCAUCCAUAAAGUGUUAAUAAUAAUAGAACCUACCAUCUACGGUAGUUGUGAUUAUCGAAUGAGAUAAUAAUUGUAAAGCAUUUAGCACUGUGCCUGGCAUAGUAAGCAAGUAAAAGUUGAGAAAAAUCACUUUGGGACAAAGUAGAAGAGUGGAAAUGGGAAGAGACUUGAGUCAGAGAGGAAGGGCAGAAGACUAUUGGAAUAGUUCAGGAGAGAAAGUGAGACUGAAGUAGGUUGGGGAUUGUACGAAUGUAAAGAAGGGGAUGUAUUCUAGAAAUGCUGAGAAGGUAUGACAAGAUUUGUCUACAAAUGAGAUAAAAUCCCAUCAAGGUCUUGAUGUAUGAUCCAAAAAAUCAUGCCAUAGUAAGUUGUAGGUUUGAUACUGGUGUGUAGAAGUUUAGACUAAUCUAAUACAAAUGUUAUUAAGAUGGUGAGGUGAUGACAUUCUUUUGGUUACUUAAAAAUUGGAUCAGAGACCUAGAGCUAGAAGAGAUUUUAGCUAUCAAUCCUUCAUUUUGAAAGAAAUUCAAGAAAUUUAAAGAAAUUCAUUAUGGAAACUGAAACUCAGGAAGGUUAAGCAAUUUCCCAAAGCCACACAUUGGCAUUAAAUUAAUUCCAAAGCUGUAUUCCUUCCACUGCUGCCUCUGAGAUUUUUUUCACACCUUCACCUAAGAUAGCUCAGAUAGAGUCAAUCUCUCAAUAGCCUUGAAACAUUCAAACCUAGAAUUUCCUUCCUCUGUGUAUACUUGGCCAAGUCCAAAAGCCUUUUCCAUCUCCUUUUUCUUCAGCAUCACUUCCUAGUCCUCAUAGAACAUGUUGAAGUUUAUAAUGUUAGAAUCCAAAUAUGAUGGUGAGAACUAUUUGCAGAUAUUUCCCAUACUUCUAUUUGUCUUUCCCAUUUGUCUUCUGGUGUCCUAAUCCAUUAAAUCUCUUCAUGUCCCAGUGACAGUGAUGACACUGAAAAUCUCUUCCAGCACUAAAUCAAUGGUCCCAUAAUUCCUUUCUGGUUUCAUCCUUAAAUAUCAUUGGGAUGGUAUUUAGUUGAGUUUCUUACCAAGUUUUGCCUUUGACUUGUUUUUUCCUUUACUAAUUUUCAAUGUUUAAUAUACAAUAUCUCCUGUAAUCUUUUACUUUUCCUUCUCCAUGAGACUUAAUGGAUACAUUUAUAUUCUGAUUCAGUGUUUCUCUUUAGCUGUCUUAUCUUGGUAGGGAAAUAAGGUGUUCAUUGUUUGUGGCAGAUUUUAGCGUCAUUUGGUUUCCUCAUGAUUGCAACUUUUAUACAUUGGUUAAAUUUAUUUGUAAAAUGGUUAUAAUGGAAACAAGAAAAUAUUUAUAUACAUCUACAGAUUUAAAUUUGAAGAAUAACUAGUGAGUGUUCAUCUCCAGAGAAUGAACCAAAAAAUGGAAACACAAAAUACAUGUGUACAUAUCUGUUUACUAAGUGAUGCCUUCUAUGGUGUGGAAAAGGGAGGGAGGACCUGAGAUAUCUGGAAAUUCUGUUGUAAAAAAUUGUUAUAAAUUCAUGUCAAUGUUCAUCUUUCCACCCAUUUGUUACUUUUUUGGCAUCACUUAAUGUAAAUGGCUUGUAUUUGAGUUGUCUUAAAUAACAGGCUUUAUCUUAUUGUAUCAUUCAUGAUACUUCUUAAGCUCAAGGACAAUUCCAGUAUUGUUUUUGUAUUCCUAAUACCUAACAGAGUGCCUGGCACAAGUAUAGAUGUUGAAUAAUGCUUGAGGAGGGCUUUUUAAUAUAUAAAUUUUGAUAUAGCACCUCCUCUGGAGUUAUUUCCACAAACUUCAUUCCUAUAAAUGGGAUAGGUCCCCAGAAAGUACUUACUGCUGCUUGUAAGGGUUCUAGGUAUAACCCCAAGGGUGUAGAUACUAGGAUUUCUAGUACCGUUACUCGUGAGCACCUAUAGGUUGUUGCAUCCAUUAAUAAUUUGUCAAUCAGAUUUCAACUAACUUUGAGGGAGUACUUACUGUGAUAAUAUAUGUAUAUUAAGAAUAGUUAGUACAAAACAUAUCUUCAAAAGUCUAUAACACACUUUUUAACACAUAAACUUAAAUUCCAAAAUAAGAUUAAGCUUAAAUUUAAGGUACAGUGUAGGAUAUGCAUAUAGGAUACAUGUAUGAUGACAAAGAGCUAACUCACAACUUCUAGAAUUUGGAAUUCUUUUCUUGAGUCCAUAGCAUUCUUCUCCAAUGUAUGGGGGUCAAUCUUCCUGCUUCCAUUUUUGGUGUAUUAGUAUUUGUUGGGUCCUCUGAAUACAGUAUUUUCUAUUAGUCCAAUAUUUCUGAUAAUAUGAUAACUGGACUAGCUUACUUUUUCUUUCUUCUUUUUUAAAUAAUUAGAUGAUUUAGAAUAUUUUUCCAUGGUUACAAGACUCAUGUUCUUUCCCUACCCUCUCUCCACCCCCUUCCUGUAACUGAUGCACAAUUCCACUGGGUUUAACAUGUGUCAUUGAUGAAGACCCAUUUCCAUAUUAUUAAUAUUUGCACUAGGGUGAUCAUUUAGUCUAAAUCCCCAAUCAUAUCCCCGUCAACCCAUGUGAUCAAGCAGUUGUUUUUCUUCUGUGUUUCUACUCCCACAGUUCUUGCUCUGGAUGUGGAUCUUUCUCAUAUAUCCCUCUGAAUAGUUCCGGAUCAUUGCAUUGCUACUAGUAGAGAAGUCCAUUACCUUCGAUUUUACCACAGUGUAUUAGUCUCUACGUACAAUAUUCUCCUGGUUCUGCUCCUUUCACUCUGCAUCAAUUCCUGGAGGUCAUUCCAGUUCACAUGGAAUUCCUCUAGUUCAUUAUUCCUUUGAUCACAAUAGUAUUCCAUCACCAGCAUAUACCACAAUUUGUUCAGCCAUCCCCUCAUUUUCCAUUUUUUUGCCACCACAAAGAGCGCGACUAUGAAUAUUCUUGUACAAAUCUUUUUCCUUAUUACAUCUUUGGGGUACAAAUCCAGCAGGGCUAUGACUGGAUCAAAGGGUAGGCAGUCAUUUAGCACCUUUUGGUCAUACUUCCAAAUUGCCUUCCAGAAUGGUUGGAUCAAUUCACAACUCUAUCAGCAAUGCAUUAAUGUCCCAAUUUUGCCACAUCCCCUCCAACAUUCAUUACUUUCCUUUGCUGUCAUGUUAGUCAAUCUGGUAGGUGUGAGAUGAUACCUCAGAGUUUUUUUGAUUUGCAUCUCUCUGAUUAUAAGAGAUUUAGAACAGUUUUUCAGGUGCUUGUUAAUACUUUUGAUUUCUUUAUCUGAAAGUUGCCUAUUCAAGUCCCUUGACCAUUUGUCAAUUGGGGAAUGGCUUGAUUUUUUGUACAAUUGAUUUAGUUCCUUAUAAAUUUAUGUGAUUAGACCUUUGUCAGAGGUUUUUGUUAUAAAGAUUGUUUCCCAAUUUGUUGCUUGUCUUCUAAUUUUGAUUGCAUUGGUUUUGUUUGUACAAAACCUUUUUAAUUUAAUGUAAUCUAUUUAUUUUGCUUUUUGUAAUUUUUCCUAACUCUUCCUUGGUUUUAAAAUAUUUCCUUUCCCAAAGAAAUGACAAGUAUACUAUUCUGUGUUCACCUAAUUUACUUAUUGUUUCCUUCUUCAUGUGCAAGUCAUUCACCCAUUCUGAGUUUAUCUUGGUGUAUGGUGUGAGAUGUUGAUUUAGACCUAACUAGCUUACUUUUUCAAACAUAACCUCAUCGGGUAAUGACUUUUUCAAGUAGUUGAAAAAUAUUUCUUGCUGGGUAUCGUUUGCUUUUAUCCAUGACUCAGGGCCUCUCUGAUUCUUUCACAUUGAUUAUGUGUUUAUGCAUAUCUCUAUGUUAUUUUUGAAUGAUUGAUUCAAUCAACAUGUGACCUUCAGUGAUGAUUUGGGAUGGGAACAUGCUCACACCUUUGUGGUUGUUUUUAAUAAGUUAAUUGUUUGUCUUACACCAAUUGCUGAUUUGGGAAUGAUUCCCACAUUGAUAACCAAUCAUUUCCUCUCUGUUAACAGCAAACAAAACAGAACCCAAACCAAAAGAAUCUUUAUUAUGUUAAGCUCUAAAGUUACCAUUUCCUCAAUUCCUUGAAUCUUUUCUCAAACAGUUGUUGCUAUAGAACUCACCAUUUGACAAAAAUUUCUAGGAAAACUGGAAAGUAGUUUGGCAACAACAAGGUAUAAACUAAUAUUUCAGGCUGUAUAUCAAAAUAUGUUCAAAAUGGAUAAAUCAUCUAGCUAUUAAAGGGUGAUAUAAAUAAAUUAGGGGAGUAUAAUAAAAUUUAUCUUUUGUUCAAUUUAUGAAUAAUGGAAGAGUUUGUGAUCAACCAAAAUAUACAGAGAAUCACAGGAUGUUAAGUGGAUAAUUCUGAUUACAUGAAAUUAAACUAUUAUUGUACAAGAGAAACCAAUGCAGCCAAAGUUAGGAAAGUAGAAACAGGGAACAUAGGGGAAUUUAUAGUUUGGCAUUUUUAAAAUAAACACCUCAUAUCUCAAAUAUGUAGAAAACUGAACCAAAUUUAUGAAAAUAAGAACCAUUUUAUAAUAGAUAAAUGAUCAAGGACAUGAACAGAGAGUUUUCAGAGGAAGAAAUCAAAGCUAUCAAUAGUCAAUAAAAAUGCUUUAAAUCAUUGUUACGGGAAAAAUGCGAAUUAAAAAAUCUGAGAUACCACUUCAUACCUAUCAGAUUGGAUAACUAAUAGAAAAAUAAAAGGGAAAUGACAAAUGUUGGAGAGAAUGUGGAAAAAUUGGGACACAAAUGCACACUGUUGGUGGGGCUGUGAACUGGUCCAACUAUUCUGAAGAAGAAUUUGGAACUAUGCCUGAAGGGCUAUAAAAUUGUGCAUACUCAGUAACUCAGCAAUUAGGUCUGCAACCCAAAGAGAUCAAAGAGAAGAGAAAAGUCCCUAAUAAAUACAAAAAUAUUUAAAGUGGCUUUUUUGGCAAAGAUUUAAAAAAUGGCAAAGAAUUAGAAAGUGGAAGGGAUACCCAUCAAUUGAGAAAUGGCUAAACAAAUUGCAGAAUAUGAUUAUGAUGGAAUAUUAUUGGGAUAUGAAAAAUGAAGAGCAGGAUGAUUUCAGAAAAACCUGGGGAGAUUUAUAUGAACUAGUGCAAAGUGAAGUGAGCAGAACUAGGAGAAUAUUGUACACUGUAACAUCAAUAUUGUAAGGAUGAUCAACUAUGAAAGACUGAUCAAUAUAAUAGUCCAAGACAAUUCCAAAGGGUCUUUGAAGGAAAAUUCUAACAACCUCCAAAGAAAGAACUAAUGAAUCCUGAGUAAUUAUUGAAGCAUAUUUUUUCCUACUUUCUUUAUUUUUCUUUUAUUUUUUAAACAUGGCUACUAUGGAAAAAUGUUUUGCAUGAUUUCACAUGGAAAAUGGAUAUAAUAUCAACUUGCCUUCUCCAUGGGAGGGGGAAGGGUUGGAGGGAAGAAGGAAAUUAACAACUCAAAAAUUUUUGAAUAUUAAAAAUAAAUGAAUAAGACAAAAAUAUUCUUACUUUGUUGGCAAGAAAAUUCUGAGUUUUCUGUGACCCUUUACCUCUUGUUUCUUACUCUUGAACCAAAAUGAUGAUAAAACACAAUAUACAGAACGUCCCCAAACUCUUAGUGCAGUUUAAAGCUUAAAACUACACUAAGACCUUUGAGACAUUAUGUAAAAUAUAUAUUAUAUAAAGUAACAUUUUAUAAAUGGAGCUAUAAGCAAUUGAAGGUUCUCUAUCAGUUCAUCAUAUUUUUUUGCCAGUUGAUAAACAAUAGGCAAAAGUUUCAGGAUAGAAGUCUUCAGUCUUUUAUGAAAAUUAAGGAAGUUUUUGGUUGUUAUUCCUUAAUAUCCUCCACAGUAUAAAGCAGAUUUUAAAAAGUGCCUCUUCCAAAGCCCAUUUUGUAGAGAUCGGAUCACAGAAGCAAAGAAACAAAUCUCAUGCUCAUUGAAUAUCACUCUUUUGGACUUAGAAAUCUGUCUCAUAGGUUUUUCUCUCUUUUUUCAAGACUAUCUGUCAUUGCUGACAUUUCUGCUACUUUGUCCUCAUUUUGCUGGAUGUUUGAAAACAGGUUUUCCUCCUAAUGGGACAAUUUUUUUGUUUUGUUUUGUUUUUGUAUUUUCAUGUAAGUUUAUUUCUUGAUUUGGAGUGCAAAUCUCCAAUCACAAACCAAUUUCUUUCAGAUUCUAUGAGAAAUGGAUGUUUAAAAAAAAAGCAAGACAGGAACCAAAGGCAAUAUCUUGGAAAGACCUUGUCACUAUACUGCAGUAAGAAUACACUUAGAAGAAACACUUACUACAUUCGUAAAUUAAACAUUUAGAGGUGUUGCCUGUGGUUUCUCCAUCAGUGACAGUCUUGGAGCAAAGACUGGGUGCCUGCUUGUCGGAUAUAUUUUUAUAAGGGAUUAUUUUUACAAUGUCAGUCAGAGUAGGUGUUCUUGGAGUUCCCUUUCAACUCUGAAGCUCUGAUUUAAUGAUUUCCUUUAACCUGUAGAUCAAGAAUCCAACUACAGCAUUCCCAAAAGGUUUGAGGAGGCACUUUUAAGUGUAUCUAGGUCCUAAGUCUUCUUGUUGUUCAGUUAUUUCAGUCAUAUCUAACUCUUUGAAACCUUGUUUGGGUUUUCUGGGCAAGCUUCUCCAGCUCAUUUUGCAAAUGAGGAAACUGAGGCAAACAGGAUUAAGUGAUCUAGCUAUUAAAUGGUCAAGGCCACAUUUGAACUCAUGAAGGUUGAAUCUUCCUCAUUCCAGACCUGGGACUCUAUCCACUAUGCCAUGUAGCUGCCUCUUUUUACCUUCUUUGAGAUAAUCUUUUUGCAUGGCUUGAAUGUCAAAUGUAUAUCUGUGUUACUGUUGGCCUUGCAUUUGUGUAUUAAAUUAGCAUCAAAAGAGUUCAGCCUAAGAUCUAAGCGCUUGCUGUCACACCAGGGAACUGCAUCUGUAUAUUGAUUGGGAGAGAGCAAGCAAAAGGGCGAUAAUUCAAAUCAUUCUGUGUCACACUCCAAAGGGAAAGCCUGGGGCCAGAGAUAGCUUGAAUGGUCCUUGUCCUGGUAGUGUCCUUGCUCCAGCCAGCCUUUCAUGCUUUGGGUUACGUGAAAAUUUUAGUCUCGUUUUGGGUUAUGAAGACUUGUUCUUCAAGGCAAAAAGAGGACUUGUGUAUGACAGCAUCAAGGGAGUGCCAUGGCCUCAAAUCCAUGUUUAUUCUCCGUAAUUAGUAGACUAUAUGAAAGGAUUGUAUGUCUUUUGUUCCUUUGUUUAUGGAUGAGAUGAGCACAUUGCUUAUGGUAUAUUUUUCCUCUGUUGUAAUUAUAUAGCUCUUUUGUUUUGGUGCAGAUCUAAAAUUUAUCAGUGAAGUCAACUCCUGGGGAGGGGCUUCCUCUAUUAAAGCAGAAAUAAAAAUAUUGUGGGCUCUGAUAUCUGAUAGGUUUAGAGGUUUGCCUUGGGACACUAAGAGGCCAAGUAUGUUGUCCAUAUUCACACAGCUGUGUAUCAGAGGCACAAUUCAAACCCAAAACUUCUUCUCAAAUCCUUUGUCAACUAGGACAGGCUGUUUCUGUAAUAAAUAAUAAAACUCAGUUCUAUGAUGCUUUUGUAAUUUAAUUGCAACGUGAUGUUUCUAAUUUUUUAAAAUUCUGAACUUAACCUCAAUAAUAAUGAACAUUUAUGUAUAGGAAGAUUUGUAAGAGAGGAACUUGGACUUGACCUGCCAGAAGCAAGAGAGAAGCAGAUUUUGCAGGCUGAAGGACCAACUGGAAUGGGGGAAGGGCAGGAAGUAGCCAGAGUUCUGAAGGAAGGAGAGAGGAAGUUAGAGGAUCUAGACAGUUGGGAACAGAUUUCUUUCUGGGAAGCCUACAGAAAGGAGGACCUGAGCAGACCUCUGGACCAGCGCCCUCCUCCUGUGACUCCUAACCCAGUUCCAGAGAAGACAAGCUGAGUGAAUAGGACUUUGACAGGAAGCUGUUCACUAUAAGAAGAAUUCCUCUGAAUCCCCUGAAGUCCUUGAACUUGUUACAAUAGCCAAGGCAGCUAGGAAGUCAGGACAUCUUCACAACUGACCCCAGGGGGUCAGGCAAGCAAAGCCUGAUCUUGCCAGACUUUGGGGAAAAGGGGUUCCGUUAUUUCUAGGGACCUCCCACUCCCUCUUUCCUAAUACCUCAUCCCUCAGUUCAAUUGCCCUACCCUUCAUUCCUUCCCAUAAACAGCUGUUCUUAGGAGCAAGUGACUGGCUUCAUAGUGUCCAAGAAAGGAAGGAGACUGAAGAUUGGGGGGAGGGAGUCACGUUUCUCUCCUCAGAGAGGGAGAAGCUAUUUGUAUCAUAUUUGUUUCCACCAAGUCUCUGAGGGAAUAGAAGUUUGUGAUCUUGAAGGCAGCCAGAGUGGAGUUUGCCAGGGAGAGGAGAGAGAGAAAUCAAGCCAUCCCCUUUCUCUUUCUACUUGACUCCAUUCCACCUCUACCUCACUCUGGUCCUGACACAGUUAGGGGGAGAUUCCAUUCUCUCUCCUCCACUUAUAUUACAGGUUAAGUCCAAGUUCCUCUCGUACAGAACUAAAAACAAUUAUUAGGGGGCAGCUAGGUAGGUAGCUCAGUAGAUUGAGAGCAGACACAGAAAUUGGAAAGUCCUGGGUUCAAAUUUCGACUCAAAUACUUCCUUACUAUAGGAUCUUGGGCAAGUCACUUAAUCUCUAGUGCCUGGCUCUUCUUUUCUAGCUUGGAACCAAUCUACAGUAUUGAUUUUAAGAUGGAAGGUAAGAAUUAAAAAAAAACACAACAGAAUCAUAUGUAAAUAUAAAUUUUUUUGGUAUAGUUUGUUUUUUUUUUAAGGUAUCCAUUUAUUCAAUUUGAUUCUCACAGUAGCCAUUUAAGGUCAAUAGUAAAAUUAUGAUUAUCUUCAUUUUAGGGAUGAAGAAAUUAAUGCCUACAUUGUCACUUGUUGAUAAUAAAAUGAAUUUUUCAUCUUAUCUAUCUGGGAGUUCUUGCCAGUGAUUCAUAUCACCGUGGCUAACCAUUUUACGGUAUUCUUGUCUAUGUCCUUCCAUGAGUUUUCCAUAGGAGGAGACCAUCCUUUAUGCUGGAAACCUUCCUUGCUUUCUUUGACAUUGUGAGAGUAUUACUGGACCAGUAUUGCUGUACACUCAUCAUCUUUGGCUUUCAUCAUGUGAGCAGCCCACCUUCUCUUACUUCUAGCAAUAUGCUAGCAAGAUCUGAGAUCCCAAACCAUGAUUCCAUGAAGGUAAAAAAAGAAAACCAAGCAGAUGGCAAGUUGCACAUACAUACUCUUUUCCACUUACAGGAAGUAGCAUUUGAAUCAGAAAUUUAAAAUGUUAAAGCACAGGCUAGUUUACUAAUUGACUUUUAUCAUAUUACCCUAACUAGAACAGAACCAAGUCAUCAGGCAGGUAUUUUGAGAGAGAUGGUGGCACACUGGCCGUAGAGUCAGAAAGAUGUGGGUUUGAAAAUUGCUUCAAAUUCUUGUGAACUUGGGCAUGUGCCUCUCACUUCCUCCAUUUCUUCUUGUUUAAAAUAAAGAGGUUGGACUUGGUGGACUCCAAGUUGCCUUUUUGCUUCUAGACCUGCAGUGUAUGAUCCUAUAAUUAAAAAGGGUAUUUGCUUCUUGGUUUCCCUCAGUAGAAGUAGGAAAUCCCUUUUUUUUGAGUCCUAUCUAGAAAAAAAAAAUGAAUGUUUCUCUGAACAUUUCUUUACCAACCUAGAUUUAGAAACAGAAGAUAUAAGAAAAAGCAACAAGUAUGUGAUUUUUUAUUGGCAUUGGUAUUUUAUCUACCAGCCCUAGUUGCAAUUCACUUCAAUUUUAAUAUCUGACUUUUGAGCUUUGUGUCAAUUGAAAUUCAUCACGUUGUAGCCAACUUGGUGACCAGUGUCUCCAAAUUUGUCAAAAAAGGCCUUUCAACAACAAACAUGAAAAUUGUCAUUGGCCCACACUCAGAACUUUUGCAUCUUGGUAGCACCUGCCAAGAUGCUGAAUCCUUAAGGAACCCAAGAACUCCUAGAGCACAAGAAGACAUUAGAGGAGGACAUUGCAAUGUGAUGCGAAAUAUAAGUGGUCUGUUUUAGUCUUUUACCUUUGGUAGUAUUCAGGUUCAUUUGACCCUGGAUUCUAUAAGUGGGUGUAAAAGGAUGGAUUUUGGUUACAUAUCACCUAAAGUCCCUUUAAGCUCCCAAAUCCUAUGAUAUAUAAAGAAACCAAGGACUAGGAGAAAACUGAGGAUCCUGUCUCCUUUCCUGGUGUCUGGGGUUGUAUAUAUGAGGCGAAUUCUGGUCUUAAAGUGGGGCACAAGUUUUGUUGCCACCAAAACCCCACCUCAAUAAAGACAGGGAGAAGAACAUUGCAGACUACUGUGCAUCCAGGUUUCAUUCAGUGUGAUGCCUGUAAAUUAUACUAAUCCUGGACUGUUCAGAAUGGAUUUUUGAUUGUGUCAAUGUGAAAUAAUUUUAAUCUUGUUAAGCACAGAGACAGCAAUUUGAUGUGGUCUACAGAAGGAAUUUAAAGAUGCCAAACCUGUAAUUAACUUAAAGGCAAAUGCAAAUGCAUUCAUAUCCAAAAGAGAUUCAAGGAAUCCUUCACAUGAUUUAAAAAUUUAGUUUUGAUACGUGUGGGAUGGGCAAGGGGAGGAGGUGGGGGAUGACACUUGUCAGGAAGAUGAUCACAGAGUAGUCAUGAUUUACUCCUGUUUACUCACUGCCUUAGUGUAUCCAGAGGAUUUGCCACUGUGAUUGUGCCACAUUUUUCAGCGUUACUUUUUCUCUCUUCUUUACGGCCUGCAUUUCAUUUCCUAAAUCUUUCUUUUCUCAUUUUUUUCCCAGUGAGAAGUUGAGGUUUAUAUGGUGAAAGGGAAAACAUUGCACUAUUGAUGAAUGAACCACUGGAGAAAACUGCAAAGGAGGAUUUUAUUUCAAGAUCUAGAAAUCCAAGUCCUGCUCUGUAAAUCCACCAAGGCAAGCCUUGCCAAAGCCAAACUGGAAGAAAUGGUUUAACAGUGUCUACCUUCGGAGCAGAGACAGGAAGACAGAACUGAGUCGUGUCAAAUCACUGCUUUCCUUCAAGUCUAGAGUUUGAACAAGCCAAUAAUAUCACCAGUCUUUAAAGAAGCUUAGAUUUCUAAAUAAGGCUAUAAAUAAUUUCACAAAUGGUGCCCUGUGCUGUAUAAUAGAGUGUGCUGAUUUUGAGUGGUGCUGCAAGAAUAAAUUUGCUGAAUGAAUAAA